GGGAGGGACACGGGAGCCAGCAGCAAGGGGAGACACUGGCCUGAAGAGGGAGCUCUGGAGGCUGGAACGUUAAUUCCCGGAGACGACGAGCAGGAGGUGCCGCUGGUGCCUGACUUGAGACCCUGUGAUCUGAUAUGCAGAAGUACUGAGAGUUCACAAUGCAACUGAAGUCAAUGGGAGCUAUGCUUUGAACACUGAAAGUGUUAUAUAGUGAUCUUCCAUACAGCUCAACAAGUAGGGACUCAGAAUGAGCUUCAUAUCCGUGGAUAUCGCUUGUAUGCAUGCGAG